AAAUCAGUGAAGCAAGCGCCAGAGAAGAUUGGCAAGAAGGCUCUGAAGCUCUGAAGCAAGAACUCUGGAAUCGCCAUUUGGCUGGAUCGGGUCGAGACGAAGUAACGGUGUUUCCCGAUGCAACCACGCUAUUUGCCGAUGUAAUAACGAUAGCUGCUGAUUUAGCCACCGGGCACCAUCGGGGCCCACUAUCGGGUCCCAAGGGGUCUACCGGAAAGGGCGUGACUUCGCCACUCUAUGGAGAGGCGAGCGGGCAGAGAGGAAGCGCAGUGUCCUGUCAUGUGGCAAGCGAAACUGUGGCGUCCGUGCUUGUCGAACGCAUGCGCACACAACUGGAAACCGUUGGGAUAGAUGAGAAUCACAAUAAAAUGUGACACUGAAUUUGAAACAGCCCAUUGUAAUUUCUGCAUCUAUUAUCAAAUAUGUAGUAGUAAUACAGUG
ensembl:lncRNA